UAGCUAGUUGGUGAGGUAACGGCUCACCAAGGCGACGAUGCGUAGCCGACCUGAGAGGGUGAUCGGCCACACUGGGACUGAGACACGGCCCAGACUCCUACGGGAGGCAGCAGUAGGGAAUCUUCCGCAAUGGACGAAAGUCUGACGGAGCAACGCCGCGUGAGUGAUGAAGGUUUUCGGAUCGUAAAGCUCUGUUGUUAGGGAAGAACAAGUGCCGUUCAAAUAGGGCGGCACCUUGACGGUACCUAACCAGAAAGCCACGGCUAACUACGUGCCAGCAGCCGCGGUAAUACGUAGGUGGCAAGCGUUGUCCGGAAUUAUUGGGCGUAAAGGGCUCGCAGGCGGUUUCUUAAGUCUGAUGUGAAAGCCCCCGGCUCAACCGGGGAGGGUCAUUGGAAACUGGGGAACUUGAGUGCAGAAGAGGAGAGUGGAAUUCCACGUGUAGCGGUGAAAUGCGUAGAGAUGUGGAGGAACACCAGUGGCGAAGGCGACUCUCUGGUCUGUAACUGACGCUGAGGAGCGAAAGCGUGGGGAGCGAACAGGAUUAGAUACCCUGGUAGUCCACGCCGUAAACGAUGAGUGCUAAGUGUUAGGGGGUUUCCGCCCCUUAGUGCUGCAGCUAACGCAUUAAGCACUCCGCCUGGGGAGUACGGUCGCAAGACUGAAACUCAAAGGAAUUGACGGGGGCCCGCACAAGCGGUGGAGCAUGUGGUUUAAUUCGAAGCAACGCGAAGAACCUUACCAGGUCUUGACAUCCUCUGACAAUCCUAGAGAUAGGACGUCCCCUUCGGGGGCAAGUGACAGGUGGUGCAUGGUUGUCGUCAGCUCGUGUCGUAGAUGUUGGGUUAAGUCCCGCAACGAGCGCAACCCUUGAUCUUAGUUGCCAGCAUUCAGUUGGGCACUCUAAGGUGACUGCCGGUGACAAACCGGAGGAAAGGUGGGGAUGACGUCAAUCAUCAUGCCCCUUAUGACCUGGGCUA
rnacentral:rRNA from 1 species